UUUUCAGCGAUUGAACUAACAUUUGAGAUU
rnacentral:piRNA from 1 species